AACGAACGCUGGCGGCGUGCCUAACACAUGCAAGUCGAACGAGAAAGGGGCUUCGGCUCCGAGUCAAGUGGCGCACGGGUGCGUAACACGUGGGUAACCUGCCUCUAAGAUUGGGAUAACUCGUCGAAAGAUGAGCUAAUACCGAAUAAGACCACAGUUCCCGCGGGAACAGGGGUCAAAGGUAGCCUCUGCUUGCAAGCUAUCACUUGGAGAUGGGCCUGCGCACCAUUAGCUAGUUGGUAGGGUAACGGCCUACCAAGGCAAAGAUGGUUAGCUGGUCUGAGAGGAUGAUCAGCCACACUGGAACUGAGACACGGUCCAGACUCCUACGGGAGGCAGCAGUGGGGAAUAUUGCGCAAUGGGCGAAAGCCUGACGCAGCAACGCCGCGUGAGUGAUGAAGGCCUUCGGGUCGUAAAGCUCUGUCGGGAGGAACGAAUGCUCCUGAGGUUAACAGCCUCGGGAGGUGACGGUACCUUCAAAGGAAGCACCGGCUAACUCUGUG
rnacentral:rRNA from 1 species